rnacentral:rRNA from 1 species
UACAGAGGGUGCAAGCGUUAAUCGGAAUUACUGGGCGUAAAGCGCGCGUAGGUGGUUUGUUAAGUUGGAUGUGAAAUCCCCGGGCUCAACCUGGGAACUGCAUCCAAAACUGGCAAGCUAGAGUAUGGUAGAGGGUAGUGGAAUUUCCUGUGUAGCGGUGAAAUGCGUAGAUAUAGGAAGGAACACCAGUGGCGAAGGCGACCACCUGGACUGAUACUGACACUGAGGUGCGAAAGCGUGGGGAGCAAACAGG